AAUGCUAUGAUGAGAUGAGACACCAUUUGGUGUUUUAUAGGGCAGUGGAAGAUGUAUCUCCGUGAGCCCCAUUCUAUAAACGACUUCUCCUUCCACUGAGCACU